AUUGAACGCUGGCGGCAUGCUUUACACAUGCAAGUCGAACGGUAACAGGCCUUCGGGUGCUGACGAGUGGCGAACGGGUGAGUAAUGCAUCGGAACGUGCCCAGAGGUGGGGGAUAACGCAGCGAAAGCUGUGCUAAUACCGCAUGUGAUCUGAGGAUGAAAGCGGGGGACCAGGCAGCAAUGUUUGGCCUCGCGCCUUUGGAGCUGCCGAUGUCAGAUUAGGUAGUUGGUGGGGUAAAGGCCUACCAAGCCGACGAUCUGUAGCUGGUCUGAGAGGACGACCAGCCACACUGGAACUGAGACACGGCCCAGACUCCUACGGGAGGCAGCAGUGGGGAAUUUUGGACAAUGGGCGCAAGCCUGAUCCAGCAAUGCCGCGUGCGGGAAGAAGGCCUUCGGGUUGUAAACCGCUUUUGUACGGAACGAAAAGGCUCUGGCUAAUACCUGGGGCUGAUGACGGUACCGUAAGAAUAAGCACCGGCUAACUACGUG
rnacentral:rRNA from 1 species